rnacentral:rRNA from 1 species
GAUGAACGCUGGCGGCGUGCCUAAUACAUGCAAGUCGAGCGGACCAAAGAGAGCUUGCUCUCUGAGGUUAGCGGCGGACGGGUGAGUAACACGUGGGUAACCUGCCUGUAAGACGGGGAUAACUUCGGGAAACCGAAGCUAAUACCGGAUGAUAUAGAGAAAUGCCUGUUUCUUUUUUGAAAGUCGGCCUUGUGCUGACGCUUACAGAUGGGCCCGCGGCGCAUUAGCUAGUUGGGGAGGUAACGGCUCACCAAGGCGACGAUGCGUAGCCGACCUGAGAGGGUGAUCGGCCCAACUGGGACUGAUACGCGGCCCAGACUCCGACGGUGGGCAGCAGUAGGGAAUCUUCGGCAAUGGGCGAAAGUCUGACCGAGCAACGCCGGGUGAGCGAUGAAGGCCUUCGGGUCGUAAAGCUCUGUUGUCAGAGAAGAACAAGUACCGGAGUAACUGCCGGUACCUUGACGGUACCUGACCAGAAAGCCACGAGUAACUACGUGCCAGCAGCCGCAGUAACAC